CAAAAAGUCCGAAACGGCCAAGUUCAUCACAAGCAUAUUUGCCGGUGUUCUGAGCGACGGGAAGCUUCCCAAAAUUCUCAACACCAUCCAGUUGCCACUGAUGGCCACAACACCUUUAUCGUCAAAUGAAACAAGUUGUGAAGAUGAUGGGCUGAGAAGUGUGAAUGUCUUCACCUUUCGGUGCGGAUUCUCUUGCAUUCCCGCCCUAAAUUUAAUUAGCAAUGAUUAAGGUGUUUUCGGCUACUCCAUGGUAAAAGUAAAUGACCUUUUUGAAAUUGGAUUAUUUUUACCAUUGCUGAUGUUUUUUUAUUUGAGGCAAAUCGGCUUAGACAAGUCAUUUGGUCAGCUGAACUUCAGCUGCCGUUAAAGAUGACAGACUUGCAUUCACCUGCCACUCUCUAACCUUUCGUAAUGGGAUCUUGUAUACAUGUCUUUUAUUAUUCAUUAUCCUUUGCAUUUCCUUGUGUAGGCCUCGUACUGAUUGAACUCCAAGAGUUUUCUUUGCUUCGUCUUGACAUCUCCUAAGCGCCUGCAAGUACAGGUUCACUGCGGGUGGGGGAUCAAUGGCAUCAAAUUAGAAUAGACUUUUGCCCUAUAGAACGACUGUUGCGACUGUGCACUACAAAUAAGGUUAGUAAUAACAUGUCCGCAUUGGGGCUUGAGCAUCACUUUUUUAUAAAGUGGGCAGUUCCCCGUUCGACAGUUUCCAGUUGCCGCUCAUCUGCGUGGAGGGGCAUUGAUGCUCGGUGCCCUCUCAGUAACGUUUACCCUAGACAUACUGUACAUUGGCAAACAGUGUGUUUGCGCACAGUGUAGCGAAGAGUUAUUAUUUUUGGAACAGCAUGGCGUAUGCGAUGGGAAAUUGAUCAAAAAAAGAUUGGUAUCAUGGUGGGCUAUACAAUUUUCCAGUCUGGUAGCUUCGCUUCGAUACGAUUCAUCUUUAACCAUUGCUUACACAUUUGAUUGUUGAUUGUUUGUUUUUGUUGUUGUUCAAGAACUUGGGAGUUUUGUUUACUUAGAUCUACCUGAAUUGGGAACGAGCUUGAGCUUUCAAAACUUCUUUUAAAGAUCAUUGUUUUUUUUUAAUUUCAUAGCUGUAUUAGACUACUGAUGUUUUAUGUCGUGUUUAUCCUUGUUCUAUACCAGCCCACUUGUACCACUGACAAGAUGAUGAUCAAGAAUGGCUUGUUGCAGGAAAUGUGCGUUGUCUGUCACAUUACUGGUACGUGCAUUAUUAAUGAGCGCGGAUGAGGUGAACAGUUUUUGCCAGACAAUCUGAACAGAACUCCAGGCUGCUUGCUCGAGUUCUUUUUAAAAUUUUAUUAGAUCGCCUGCUGCAAACUGGUUUUAAUCAAAUCACAGUUUAGCAAUAGGUACAAUUCCAACCGCAUCAGAGCCUUUGAUUUUCUCAGCUGAACAAAACUGCCUAAUACAGGUCUUAUGUAUUCUGAGCUGUGGUUUGCCAUCACAUAAUGAGCACUUAAAAGAUGAUCAUACAAAAAUCAGCUACUGAGGCCAUCUAUGUCAGGAAGUUGUCGUGCUUUUCAGCAUUUCAACUGGCAAAAAUGAUCCUGCUUGCACAUCAUUGCAAACGUGCAACUGAAUGAACUCAACUCUGGAAUGACAGGUACCGAGAUUUUAAACAAUAUUAUAUCACAUCAACUUGACUUUUGUUAGAACGAGGAGAUGGAAGAAGAAAAAUGGCGUUUUCAAUGCUUAGGUUGAAAUGUAUUGGAGUCUUUUCUGCUGACAUUCAUACAUGUGGUAAGUAUAGACACAUAGAAAGUGUGAUUACCAUAGCACACUAAGAGGUGAAGAUUGAUAUUUUUGGUAGAUUAUAAGUAAGGGAAGUUGUAAACCAGCCCUGUAUCUUCGGAUAUCUUACGUAUGCAUCCAUAUGUAGGCUGAAGAUUUUUAUUAACCUACCAUGAGGUUGAUUUUAGCAUCAAUCAAUAGAUUUGAAGCUGGUUAUUAGGUUUGCACUUAAAA
rnacentral:lncRNA from 1 species